CCGGGGGGGCAGUUCCCUCCUUCCCUGUCAGUUUCAGGCAGCUGCGCGCGUCGCUCGGGGGGGGGCGGUGGUGGUGGUUGAGUCUGCCCGCCUUGGGCGGCAACGUGCGCGCCGAGGAGGAACGAUGCCUCCCCCACCGCCAUGAAGGAAGCCCGCGCGGGUCAGUGAAUUGGCGGGGAUUGUUGAGGAGUCGAGCUGGAGAUGAGGAGGCGGCGGAAGGAGAGGAAAAGACGGCAGGCAAAACAGUUUGA
rnacentral:lncRNA from 1 species